rnacentral:rRNA from 1 species
UCAGCCGCCGCGGUAAAACCAGCACCUCGAGUGGUCAGGAGGUUUAUUGGGCCUAAAGCAUCCGUAGCCGGUUGUUUAAGUUUUCGGUUAAAUCUAUGCGCUUAACGUAUAGGCUGCCGAAAAUACUGGACAGCUAGGGAGUGGGAGAGGUACACGGUACUCAAUAGGAAGGGGUAAAAUCCUUUGAUCUGUUGAUGACCACCUGUGGCGAAGGCGGUGUACCAGAACACGUUCGACGGUGAGGGAUGAAAGCUGGGGGAGCAAACCGGAUUAGAUACCCGGGUAGUCCCAGCUGUAAACGAUGCAAACUCGGUGAUGCGUUGGCUUGUGGCCAAUGCAGUGCCGCAGGGAAGCCGUUAAGUUUGCCGCCUGGGAAGUACGUACGCAAGUAUGAAACUUAAAGGAAUUGGCGGGGGAGCACA